GACGAACGCUGGCGGCGUGCUUAACACAUGCAAGUCGAACGGAAAGGCCCUGCUUUUGUGGGGUGCUCGAUUGGCGAACGGGGGUGUAACACGUGAGUAACCUGCCCUUGACUUUGGGAUAACUUCAGGAAACUGGGGCUAAUACCGGAUAGGAUCUCCUGCUGCAUGGUGGGGGUUGGAAAGUUUCGGCGGUUGGGGAUGGACUCGCGGCUUAUCGGCUUGUUGGUCGGGUAGUGGCUUACCAAGCGUGUGACGGGUAGGCCGCAUGAGAGGGUGGACGGGGACCAGAGUACUAAGAGACGGCGCAGACGGCUAUGGGAGGCAGUAGGCGGGAGUCUGACAGAACGGGGGGGAGCCUGAGGCGGCGGCGUCCGGAUCGUAAUGACGUGCUUUGGGUUGUGAACCGCUGUGUCCUGAAAUGUGGCGUGAGUGACGGUAAUGAAUAAAGAAGCACCGGCUAACUACGUG
rnacentral:rRNA from 1 species